AAACUUUCACACAACUGUUUAAAAAGUUAUGCAGACUUUUACUUUGGACUAAAACGUUCUUUUACUUUAUAUUUUUAUUGUACAUGAAGCAGAGACCAGUGUCCUUCUAGGGUUAUUAAGAAAUAUUUACGUUAUAUUUAAGUUAAAUCUUGGCAUUCAUUUUUUUGCUUUGCUAAAUUGUAUUUUUGGUAAUAUAGAACAGACAGCCAAUUACUGAUAUGAAAAAUCGUAAGAAUAAUAUUAAACGAAGAUCCAUACAAUGUAAAUUGGAGAAACUGAUUACAUUACAACGAACGAGUGAAUGAUCAGUGAAAUACAAUCUAAGAAAUGUAUGGAUGCUGAGUCGUUUACAACACAUGUAAAAAAGUGCGCCGAAUAUAAUUUUUUUAAAAAAAUCUGCCGAAUUUAUGGAUACUGUGUCGUUGAUAGCAAGCACAAACUGUGUAUUUGCUUUCCCCUCUUGAAAAUUUUAGCGAAUGUGUGCAUAAGAGUUCUGUAACCAUGGAACCAAUAUACGUCUUAUGUGCCUUUAACAGAACACUGUGUGGUGAAAAUCAAUAUAAGAAUUGCGUCAAUGCUGUGGCGGUUUCACGCGCUGUUAGUAAAAGUAUGGAUGCUGUUUCUAACAAAACAUUAUAAUCAAUGCAAAAUGUUAUUUUUACAUUUGUUAAUGCUCGGGAACUGCAAUCUUUCUAAAAAGAGUAUGAAUGUCAUGUCAAGCAAAAAAGGUGUACUAAGCUAUGUUGUGGAAAUCAUUGCAGCAAAUAUAAGGUCGUGUUCCCAUAAGUUCUUAAAAAGAUGAUGGAUUUAGUGCAGCUCUGUCGGUAGAGCGUUUGAAUCAUCUCCUCUACUUGAGAUUAUAAGUUCAAUGUCCCCCCAUUGUCUAGUUAGUUUGUCAUUUCAUAAAGAUUUUUGUAGCAAUGGGAGCUAAACACUGGAAACCUGGUCCAUCCUGAAAUCCAUUGAGCACAGACCACAUUAAAUAUAAAUCACCAUCAGUGGUUUGAGGCAGAAUUGUAAGAGAAUUUACAUACUGGAUGGUUCUUUUGUUAUGAAAGUUUUUUUGCAGUAACUUUAAUGACUAAGGUGUCUUUUUAUGCCACUACCUGUACACAUGAUAGAGCUUAAAAGUACUGCCAAACUCUUUUUCCAUGUAUUG